UACAGAGGUCUCAAGCGUUGUUCGGAUUCAUUGGGCGUAAAGGGUGCGUAGGCGGCGCGGAUAGUCGGCGGUGAAAGCCCGGAGCUCAACUCCGGGUCGGCCGUCGAUACUUCCGGGCUUGAGCACUGUAGAGGCAGAUGGAAUUCCGGGUGUAGCGGUGGAAUGCGUAGAGAUCCGGAAGAACACCAGUGGCGAAGGCGACUGUCUGGCCAGAUACUGACGCUGAGGCGCGAAAGCGUGGGGAGCAAACAGG
rnacentral:rRNA from 1 species